UGUAAUCCCAUAUUAAAUGUAUCCAAACCAACAUGAGUAAGAUGUACCAAAUCAGUACGCAGAGAAUUAUGGUUCUCCUUCUAAUUCAACAUGAGGAAUCACCAAUCCACCCAAGCAUUGUACGAAUCAUGAUAUGGUCAUGUUGAAGCGACAUCCACCUCACUAUACCCCUUUUUGCGUUGCGCGCUCUUGACCCAGGUAAUUACCACCAGCGGGGAUCAGCAG